rnacentral:rRNA from 1 species
AGCGUACACGGUGGAUGCCCUGGCAGUCAGAGGCGAUGAAGGACGUGCUAAUCUGCGAUAAGCGUCGGUAAGGUGAUAUGAACCGUUAUAACCGGCGAUUUCCGAAUGGGGAAACCCAGUGUGWUUCGWCACACUAUCAUUAACUGAAUCCAUAGGUUAAUGAGGCGAACCGGGGGAACUGAAACAUCUAAGUACCCCGAGGAAAAGAAAUCAACCGAGAUUCCCCCAGUAGCGGCGAGCGAACGGGGAGCAGCCCAGAGCCUGAAUCAGUGUGUGUGUUAGUGGAAGCGUCUGGAAAGGCGCGCGAUACAGGGUGACAGCCCCGUACACAAAAAUGCACAUGCUGUGAGCUCGAUGAGUAGGGCGGGACACGUGGUAUCCUGUCUGAAUAUGGGGGGACCAUCCUCCAAGGCUAAAUACUCCUGACUGACCGAUAGUGAACCAGUACCGUGAGGGAAAGGCGAAAAGAACCCCGGCGAGGGGAGUGAAAAAGAACCUGAAACCGUGUACGUACAAGCAGUGGGAGCAYGCUUAGGCGUGUGACUGCGUACCUUUUGUAUAAUGGGUCAGCGACUUAUAUUCUGUAGCAAGGUUAACCGAAUAGGGGAGCCGAAGGGAAACCGAGUCUUAACUGGGCGUUAAGUUGCAGGGUAUAGACCCGAAACCCGGUGAUCUAGCCAUGGGCAGGUUGAAGGUUGGGUAACACUAACUGGAGGACCGAACCGACUAAUGUUGAAAAAUUAGCGGAUGACUUGUGGCUGGGGGUGAAAGGCCAAUCAAACCGGGAGAUAGCUGGUUCUCCCCGAAAGCUAUUUAGGUAGCGCCUCGUGAAUUCAUCUCCGGGGGUAGAGCACUGUUUCGGCAAGGGGGUCAUCCCGACUUACCAACCCGAUGCAAACUGCGAAUACCGGAGAAUGUUAUCACGGGAGACACACGGCGGGUGCUAACGUCCGUCGUGAAGAGGGAAACAACCCAGACCGCCAGCUAAGGUCCCAAAGUCAUGGUUAAGUGGGAAACGAUGUGGGAAGGCCCAGACAGCCAGGAUGUUGGCUUAGAAGCAGCCAUCAUUUAAAGAAAGCGUAAUAGCUCACUGGUCGAGUCGGCCUGCGCGGAAGAUGUAACGGGGCUAAACCAUGCACCGAAGCUGCGGCAGCGACGCUUAUGCGUUGUUGGGUAGGGGAGCGUUCUGUAAGCCUGUGAAGGUGUGCUGUGAGGCAUGCUGGAGGUAUCAGAAGUGCGAAUGCUGACAUAAGUAACGAUAAAGCGGGUGAAAAGCCCGCUCGCCGGAAGACCAAGGGUUCCUGUCCAACGUUAAUCGGGGCAGGGUGAGUCGACCCCUAAGGCGAGGCCGAAAGGCGUAGUCGAUGGGAAACAGGUUAAUAUUCCUGUACUUGGUGUUACUGCGAAGGGGGGACGGAGAAGGCUAUGUUGACCGGGCGACGGUUGUCCCGGUUUAAGCGUGUAGGCUGGUUUUCCAGGCAAAUCCGGAAAAUCAAGGCUGAGGCGUGAUGACGAGGCACUACGGUGCUGAAGCAACAAAUGCCCUGCUUCCAGGAAAAGCCUCUAAGCAUCAGGUAACAUCAAAUCGUACCCCAAACCGACACAGGUGGUCAGGUAGAGAAUACCAAGGCGCUUGAGAGAACUCGGGUGAAGGAACUAGGCAAAAUGGUGCCGUAACUUCGGGAGAAGGCACGCUGAUAUGUAGGUGAAGCGACUUGCUCGUGGAGCUGAAAUCAGUCGAAGAUACCAGCUGGCUGCAACUGUUUAUUAAAAACACAGCACUGUGCAAACACGAAAGUGGACGUAUACGGUGUGACGCCUGCCCGGUGCCGGAAGGUUAAUUGAUGGGGUCAGCGCAAGCGAAGCUCUUGAUCGAAGCCCCGGUAAACGGCGGCCGUAACUAUAACGGUCCUAAGGUAGCGAAAUUCCUUGUCGGGUAAGUUCCGACCUGCACGAAUGGCGUAAUGAUGGCCAGGCUGUCUCCACCCGAGACUCAGUGAAAUUGAACUCGCUGUGAAGAUGCAGUGUACCCGCGGCAAGACGGAAAGACCCCGUGAACCUUUACUAUAGCUUGACACUGAACAUUGAGCCUUGAUGUGUAGGAUAGGUGGGAGGCUUUGAAGUGUGGACGCCAGUCUGCAUGGAGCCGACCUUGAAAUACCACCCUUUAAUGUUUGAUGUUCUAACGUUGACCCGUAAUCCGGGUUGCGGACAGUGUCUGGUGGGUAGUUUGACUGGGGCGGUCUCCUCCUAAAGAGUAACGGAGGAGCACGAAGGUUGGCUAAUCCUGGUCGGACAUCAGGAGGUUAGUGCAAUGGCAUAAGCCAGCUUGACUGCGAGCGUGACGGCGCGAGCAGGUGCGAAAGCAGGUCAUAGUGAUCCGGUGGUUCUGAAUGGAAGGGCCAUCGCUCAACGGAUAAAAGGUACUCCGGGGAUAACAGGCUGAUACCGCCCAAGAGUUCAUAUCGACGGCGGUGUUUGGCACCUCGAUGUCGGCUCAUCACAUCCUGGGGCUGAAGUAGGUCCCAAGGGUAUGGCUGUUCGCCAUUUAAAGUGGUACGCGAGCUGGGUUUAGAACGUCGUGAGACAGUUCGGUCCCUAUCUGCCGUGGGCGCUGGAGAACUGAGGGGGGCUGCUCCUAGUACGAGAGGACCGGAGUGGACGCAUCACUGGUGUUCGGGUUGUCAUGCCAAUGGCACUGCCCGGUAGCUAAAUGCGGAAGAGAUAAGUGCUGAAAGCAUCUAAGCACGAAACUUGCCCCGAGAUGAGUUCU